GUGGUAACCAAAGAGGUGGGUCCUUUUCCUGUUUUGUUGUUGUCAUCUUAGACACUUGUUGACAUUUAAUGAGGACAAAAAGACACUAUGGAAGAGAACAGGUAUGGCCACCAGUCACAGCUUUGGCCAGUGAGAUGCAUAUUUGACAAGGCACACUGAGAAGGUGAGGUGGCACUGAGAGUGAAGAAGAAAAAUGGCCUUCCCACCAUCAGGAGAUGCAUAUCUAAGGAUGAAUUAAAGAACAGAGGCAGCAACAUGCUGUGGAGUUCCUGCAUCUUCCUUUACUACUUGCUUUUCAGUUUUUUGAUGUGCAAGAGAAAGGCAACUGGCUAAAGUAAAGUUAUAUUUUCAUUAUAAA